rnacentral:rRNA from 1 species
AUCCCACAAAGUCGGUCUCAGUUCGGAUUGAAGUCUGCAACUCGACUUCAUGAAGUUGGAAUCGCUAGUAACCGUGAGUCAGCCAUAUCACGGUGAAUAUGUUCCUGGGUCUUGUACUCACCGCCCGUCAAGUCAUGAAAGCUCGGAGCACCCAAAGCACCCUUACCAUCAAUGGGGGGUACCACGGUGAAACGAGUGAUUGGGACUAAGUCGUAACAAGGUAUCCGUAGGAGAACCUGCGGAUGGAACACUUCCUUACCAGGGA